GCGGUCGUGGUGGAACGGCAGACACGCUAUCUUGAGGGGGUAGUGCCCAAUGGGCGUGAGGGUUCAAAUCCCUCCGACCGCACCA
rnacentral:tRNA from 5 species